rnacentral:rRNA from 2 species
GUGGGGAAUAUUGCACAAUGGGCGCAAGCCUGAUGCAGCGACGCCGCGUGCGGGAUGGAGGCCUUCGGGUUGUAAACCGCUUUUGUUCAAGGGCAAGGCACGGUCUUUGGCCGUGUUGAGUGGAUUGUUCGAAUAAGCACCGGCUAACUACGUGCCAGCAGCCGCGGUAAUACGUAGGGUGCAAGCGUUAUCCGGAUUUAUUGGGCGUAAAGGGCUCGUAGGCGGUUCGUCGCGUCCGGUGUGAAAGUCCAUCGCUUAACGGUGGAUCCGCGCCGGGUACGGGCGGGCUUGAGUGCGGUAGGGGAGACUGGAAUUCCCGGUGUAACGGUGGAAUGUGUAGAUAUCGGGAAGAACACCAAUGGCGAAGGCAGGUCUCUGGGCCGUUACUGACGCUGAGGAGCGAAAGCGUGGGGAGCGAACAGG